ACUGUGACCUGUCGCUGAGGUGAUCUGAUGAUGUAGGUCUUGCCUUUCAUUUUAACUGCCAUUCUGGCAACUGAACGUUGGCAGUAAACGCAGCUUAGUUGUCCCAGAGGACUCACAAUGGGAAGUGCUUGUUGUAGUUGUUGCCUCAGAGCGUGUUCUGCAGGGGAUGAAACAGUGGAUCCCGGGGUGCCAAGGGAAUCCACCGUCUGCCACCGCAAGCAUAAGAAGCGAAUCCUCCAUCGCUGGCGUCACAGCCAUGUACGCCCUGGAGUUGCAUCAACGGAAGAUCACGAUGAGGACUUGGUGCAGGAAACUUCAUCUGAAGAUGUCCCAGGCGUUCACAUGGUGGACAAAGACACACAGACAGACA
rnacentral:sRNA from 1 species